rnacentral:ncRNA from 1 species
UUAUGAUAGAGGCGCGGACUUCAUCAGUAAUCGGAACCAUGUACGGGAGUGCACCGACGAAAGGGGAUUCCGCCGAAGCGGCACGCUUCUCCCGAGGGCGCGUCGGCUGGGAUAACGCAGAAAAUGCGUUAUACUGUCGUUUUGAAUACAAUCGUCAUUCCCUGUACGCGACCAACAUCGCGAUUCUCCGAUGACGACGGAUUGUAUUGACGGAGUGCUAUUCG